rnacentral:rRNA from 1 species
GGAAUAUUGGACAAUGGGGGAAACCCUGAUCCAGCGACGCCGCGUGAGCGAAGAAGUAUCUCGGUAUGUAAAGCUCUAUCAGCAGGGAAGAUAAUGACGGUACCUGACUAAGAAGCACCGGCUAAAUACGUGCCAGCAGCCGCGGUAAUACGUAUGGUGCAAGCGUUAUCCGGAUUUACUGGGUGUAAAGGGUGCGUAGGUGGCAUGGUAAGUCAGAUGUGAAAACUAUGGGCUCAACCCAUAGACUGCAUUUGAAACUGCCGAGCUAGAGUGCAGGAGAGGAAAGUGGAAUUCCUAGUGUAGCGGUGAAAUGCGUAGAUAUUAGGAGGAACACCAGUGGCGAAGGCGGCUUUCUGGACUGUUACUGACACUGAGGCACGAAAGCGUGGGGAGCAAACA